AAGAUCAUUCACGGCAAGAUGGUGUUUAUGUCAACUUUGUGAAUUAACAGGAAACUAACUAACAUUAGUUAAUAUUGAUAACAAAGGGAAGGGGUUUGGAUUCUUUCGAAUGAAAAAAAUUUAUAAAAGAUAAAAUAAAUAAAUGAAAAAAUAUUUUAGAGGGAAAAAUCCUACUAGUUUUUUUUUUCAAAAUUCAUAAAAUAUUAUCAGUAACGAUAUUAUCUUCACUGAUAUUAAAUAAAACUUGUCAUCAUUAAAGGGGGCAUGGCGCCACUCAUAGUGCUGUCACUAAAAACUAUAAUUCUUGCAGUGAGUUACAACAUCAGUUCUAGAAAUUUUAAAAAAUAUUCAAAUAGUUUAUAAUACCAAAAAUAGGUUCAAAACUUUUUAAACACAAGUGGUAAAUUAGAAUAUCCGAAAGUUUUGUUUUUCAUACUGUAAACUAUUUGAAAUUUUUUAUAAUUUUACAAGGUAUGACAUUGUAAAUAUAACAAAUACUGCUACAAAAAAAAUUAAAACAAUAAAAUUCUGACAUAUAAGUUCGGAUGUAGAGAUUAACUAAGUGAUUGUAAUAUAGGAGGUUGUAAUUAGCACUCCUCAUAUAUUAGAACAAAAUGAAAAUGGAUUAAGUAUUAAUAAUUUCUUUUUUAUACCUUAAUAAAAAAAAAAGAUCAUAAUUGGUCUAAUUUUUAAAAAUAAUUUGUGUUUCUUCAUCUAGCUUAUUGAAACCGAGUUUUAUCUUGCAACCAAAAUAAAAUAAAAUAAAUCUUGUGACGGUUAUAAAUGUGCUUACAUUAUAAAUAGUUGGUAGAAUUAGUGUUGAGAGACCAAAGUAAUUAAUUUCAUCACAAGUAAACAAACACAGUGCCGCCAUAAUAGAGAUUAGAGAGACAUAAUUAUCAUCUCAGCUUAGAGCAAAUAAUUUCAAUUCAAUAAUUUCUUGCAAAUUCUUCCUUUUCAAUUGUACGUGCGCCAUUCAACUUAAGAAUUUGCAAAGUCAAGAAAAUUUCAAAAAUCCCAAGCUAGUUCAAGAAAUAAGAAAAAAUAUAACAACGAUCAUAUCUUUUCUUCUAUUUUCUUCCAUGGAGAUCCCAAACAACUAUGAGGGCUUGAUAAUAGAGCAUCGUCACAGAGUAUUCUGCCGCGUUCGAAACCUGGGAACCGGAGAAAUAACACAGCUUCCCAUUCCUCAGGCCGAAAAAAUUCUCGGAAAUGUGUUUUAUUAUGAUUGGUUCACUCAUGACAUUAAAUUUAUCAUCAAUUCCGAAAAAAGUUAAGAAAUUCUCAAACUUGGUGACCAAAAUUGGAGACCCCUACAACCCAAUUUUCGAAAAGAUCAAAUUGUGCUCAUGUCAAAUGAUAGGAAGAAAAUGCUCUUCUUUUAUUGCCUUGUUCAUCAAGGCAGUUUUGAUUUACGGGUUACUUUGUUUGAUCUAAGGACAGAGGAAUAUGAGACUAUUAGAAAUUUUCCAAGAAAUAUUUUCUGUGAUGUAACCAAGCUCAUUCCUUUUUAUUGGGAAUCUGAUCCUGCUAUUGGUGAAUUGAGUAAGGAACAUGGGCUUAGGGUUUUGGUGAUGAAGAAUGAUUAUAGUUGGAAUGAACAAGUGAUAGAGAUCUCCUCAGCUUUCUUAAAUUUACAUUUGAUUACAAUGAAGUUUUUCCCUAUUGAUUUUGUGAAUGGUAUACUUUGGUUUCAAUGUAAUGGUAGCCGAAAAUAUUAUUUCUGUUACCAUAUAGUAAGUGGCUCUGUUAUCGGAUAUGUUAAAGCAUUAUUCAUAUGAAUCAGGAUAGCUUUUCUUUUUAUUUUUUAUUUUUAUUUUUUUUUCUUGAGAGAAUAUUCCUCAUUGUAAUUUUGUUCGUUGUUCUUAAUAAUAAAAAUAAGUAAUAUAUUUUAAGUUUUUUGAGCUU